AUUGAACGCUGGCGGCAGGCCUAACACAUGCAAGUCGAGCGAGCGGCGGACGGGUGAGUAAUGUAUGGGGACUGCACGAUAGAGGGGGAUAACUACUGGAAACGGUGGCUAAUACCGCAUACUAUCGGAUAACCCAUAUGGGAUUAGCUAGUAGGGGGGGUAAAGGCUCACCUAGGCGUCGCUCUAUAGCUGGUCUGAGAGGUUGAUCAGCCACACGGGGACGGGGACAGGGCCCAGACUCCUACGGAGGCAGCAGUGGGGAAUAUUGCACAAUGGGCGCAAGCCUGAUGCAGCCAUGCCGCGUGUAUGAAGAAGGCCUUAGGGUUGUAAAGUACUUUCAUCGGGGAGGCGUUACCCGCAGAGGAAGCACCGGCUAACUCCGUGCCAGCAGCCGCGGUAAUUC
rnacentral:rRNA from 1 species